ACACGGAGAUUAGGAAUAUUGAAUCUGUAAAGAGGAGUAUCGAAAGAGUGCUUGGAGAUUUGUUCUUGGAGACGAUUCCAAAGGGAAGAAGCGGAGCCUUGAACAGGUAAGGAGACCAUCCAGUAUCGGCUCGCCAUUACAGCUUUGUUUACAAGCUGUCGAAGGAAGUAUCAACUGAAAACGAGAGAGAAGAAGAAGAAGAAGA
rnacentral:misc_RNA from 1 species